GAGCGGUAACAGGUGUAGCAAUACAUGCUGACGAGCGGCGAACGGGUGAGUAAUGCUUCGGAAUCUACCCAAUGGUGUGGAAUAACCAGCCGAAAGGUUGGCUAAUACCGCAUGAGCCCUACGGGGGAAAGCAGGGGAUCGUAAGACCUUGCGCCGAUGGAUGAGCCGAAGUCGGAUUAGCUAGUUGGUAGGGUAACGGCCUACCAAGGCGACGAUCCGUAGCUGGUCUGAGAGGACGACCAGCCACACCGGAACUGAGACACGGUCCGGACUCCUACGGGAGGCAGCAGUGGGGAAUAUUGGACAAUGGGGGAAACCCUGAUCCAGCGACGCCGCGUGUGUGAAGAAGGCCUGCGGGUUGUAAAGCACUUUUAGUGGGGACAAAAAGCUACGGACUAAUACUCUGUGGUCUUGAUUUAACCCAAAGAAAAAGCACCGGCUAACUCUGUG
rnacentral:rRNA from 1 species